rnacentral:lncRNA from 1 species
UUGAUCAAUAUUCAUUAUUUACACCAAUCAACCUUCAUAAAGAUAAAAAUAAUUCACAUAAAAAAUACACCAUUCAACAUUCAUAACAUUCACUAAAGAUACAUAUAAAGAUUACACUCAUGACAAGGCAAUAAAGAUACAUAUACACUAAAGAUUACAGACGCUCCAUAGUGGACUUCACGUAGUCAAUUAUCCUCAAAUAGUGGUAUAACAUAGCAGAAUGUUCAACCUCCAAGCCAUCUCUGCACAUAAAUCAAUCUUCUACGAAGUCUAUCGAGAGUCACCUCCACAUAUCCAAUACUAGAAAAUAAUGGUACAACAGAAGAUCUUCGAGUCCACAUACUCG